GUUUAAAUAUCUUAAAUUUUAAAGUAUAUUAUUGAAGUUAAUAUUAUGGUUUGUAUAAAUCUUUAAACA
rnacentral:tRNA from 1 species